rnacentral:rRNA from 1 species
CAAUAGCGUAUAUUAAAGUUGUUGCGGUUAAAAAGCUCGUAGUUGGAUUUCUGCUGAGGACGACCGGUCCGCCCUCUGGGUGUGUAUCUGGUUUGGCCUGGGCAUCUUCUUGGAGAACGUAGCUGCACUUGACUGUGUGGUGCGGUGUCCAGGACUUUUACUUUGAGGAAAUUAGAGUGUUUCAAGCAGGCACACGCCUUGAAUACAUUAGCAUGGAAUAAUAAGAUAGGACCUCGGUUCUAUUUUGUUGGUUUCUAGAGCUGAGGUAAUGAUUAAUAGGGAUAGUUGGGGGCAUUCGUAUUUAACUGUCAGAGGUGAAAUUCUUGGAUUUGUUGAAGACGAUCUACUGCGAAAGCAUUUGCCAGGGAUGUUUUCAUUGA